rnacentral:misc_RNA from 1 species
GAUGAAGAACGUAGCGAAAUGCGAUACGUAAUGUGAAUUGCAGAAUUCCGUGAAUCAUCGAAUCUUUGAACGCACCUUGCGCCUCUUGGUAUUCCGAGGGGCAUGCCUGUUCGAGCGUCUCCAGGACGAAUCCUCGCGCGAGUGAACGCGCGGUCGUGGCGGAGGUGGCGUGCCCGAGCAGGGCGGCCACCGCGCUGGAAUCCAUGGGCGGACGCCUGCCGCGUGGCCGAGCGUGAUAUGACGCAUUGGCGCUCGUGCGCGGCGAGGCUGCCAGCCCUGGCCCGUCUGUCGGGCGGGGUAGAUCAACACGUGGGAACUCCUCGAAUCAGGUAGGGAUACCCGCUGAACUUAAGCAUAUCAAUAAGCGGAGGA